GUCCACGCCGUAAACGAUGAUAACUCGACGUUGGCAAUAUACUGUUCAGCGUCCAAGCGAAAGCGUUAAGUUAUCCACCUGGGGAGUACGAUCGCAAGGUUGAAACUCAAAGGAAUUGACGGGGGCCCCGCACAAGCGGUGGAGCAUGUGGUUUAAUUCGAUGAUACGCGAGGAACCUUACCAGGGCUUAAAUGGGAAUUGACAGGCUGGGAAACUAGUCCUCCUUCGGGCAAUUUUCAAGGUGCUGCAUGGUUGUCGU
rnacentral:rRNA from 1 species